CCAGUGAAGAACGAGUCUUCGUGAAAUUUCAUUGAACAAUUCUGAAAUUCAUGUGUGCAUUUCACAGAAUAGUCAUAAAAACAAAAUUAUUACAAUUACUUAUAAAAGUGUCAAAAAUAUAGGUCUGUAGAUUCUUAUCUCUUCAGUUCCGUUGAAAAUCAAUAAAUGAACACAAAGGAAAAGGAAAUUAAAAUACGCCCACAAAAUGGCGUCCCCUUUGGACUCUGUUUCACUAAUGAAUCUCCUGAAUAUUCUACCGCCCUGGGAGCAUAUAGUGGUUAUUAAUAUAAGUACACCAUGUAUAAUGUGACUGUCUGCGGUUUUCAUACAUGACGCCGCGCAAAUUACCGCUUUGCGUAAUAUAUGCACAUUGAACAAAACUUGGAGCUAAAGGCGAGUGACUGUAUAUCUCAUACAACGUUACAUAGCUUGUGAAACACAGCGAUACAAACAGUCGUGUGUUUAGGAAAUUACUCCAACAGCAAUGAAGAAAUGGAACGUACGAUUCUGAAUUCGUGCAGUCUUUUGUGAACGUAGUUGAAUUACAGAGGUCAGCUAGCACGCUAAAUUGGUCGAGUUAUUUUCAGUUACUAACUUGAAAUUCACUGCUUUAUACGAGACUGGUAACAACAAAUUUGGUUUCCAAUAAAACCAUGACAUAUUAUAGGUAUCCCUGGACAGCAUGUGUUAAGUUUACAGUUUGAUAACUCUUGCGCAAAAUUAAG